UACGUAGGGGGCAAGCGUUGUCCGGAAUCAUUGGGCGUAAAGCGCGUGUAGGCGGUCCGGUAAGUCGGUUGUGAAAGUCCAGGGCUCAACCCUGGGAUGCCGAUCGAUACUGCCGGACUAGAGUCCGGAAGAGGCGAGUGGAAUUCCCGGUGUAGCGGUGAAAUGCGCAGAUAUCGGGAGGAACACCAAUGGCGAAGGCAAUCCCCUGGACCUGUACUGACGCUCAUGCACGAAAGCGUGGGGAGCGAACAGG
rnacentral:rRNA from 1 species